rnacentral:lncRNA from 1 species
CAAAAUGGCAACAAAUGAACCUCAGAACUUGCUAGAAUGGCAACUGCAUUGUGUUUUAAAAAGAGCGAGCCUUCUUCAGUAUUAUGAAAGUUUCAUUAGGCAAGGUACAGUAAAAAAUAUAUUGAAUCAAUUGCAUCUACAUGAUUAAUUACAAAAAUAUAUAUACAUAGUUCACAAGGUAUAUAAAGUAGGGGUAGUUAAAAUAGCAGGUGGGAAAUAAUUGACCUAGACGGAACUAUACAUUCAGCUUUCGGUGACAUAGUGUUACAUUUUUUCCUAAGUAGAAUCUAGAGUUGUUACACAGUACGGGAUGAACAUGGAAUUGAUUGCAGAUUAGCAUUAUUAUAUAUCGUCAAGAAUCGUGAGAUACAGUCACGGAUACAUAUAUAUUGAAGUUCUAGCACAUACAUAAUUAUCUAUUGCCUAUAUACGUUGUUCCAGGUGAAUGCAAUGUACUGCAGUUAUCUGAAUCAGACGAUGAUAAAUUCAAAGACGUCAUGGAGAAAGUUGGAAUGGCAAAGAAAUCGAUACAUGUGCGACAGUUCAAAAACUCGCUCCUUGAAUGGGUUAAAGAUCCAGGUAAG